UACCACUGCUCAGUCGGUAGAGCAUGAGACUCUCAAUCUCAGGGUCGUGGGUUUGAACCCCACACUGGGCAAAA